rnacentral:sRNA from 2 species
UUGACUCUCAAAUGAGAAUCGUUAUGAUUAUCACAACUGGUCGCGAGAUCAGCCGAUAACUGAAAGACCAUUGGUUCGGACUCUCAGAUUAUCUCCUCAUCAGGCUAAUCACGGUUAUUUGACCCGGCUCUUGCCGGGUCUUUUUUUA